rnacentral:rRNA from 1 species
AUGCUCCCAUAUGAAUUGUUUGCUACUACCUUGCAUUGCAUGAUGCCGUCUGUUAAAGUAGAUUUUAAAAAGUAUUUGCUUGGAUGUGAUGAUAUAUACCCUGUUUGUGGCAUUACUCUCAUUUGUGAUGAUCACACUUAUUUUCCUCAUGCCAAACCUAUGCUUAAUGAUAAAUAUAAUCUUAAUGCUAGUAUUGAGCUUGUUGAUUCCUAUCACCAUAAACAUGUGCUUUAUAGCUAUGCUUAUGUAAUUGGAUAUUUGAUUGAUGACUUGGAGGGUAUUAUCCCUACCGCUUGCAUCGUCUCUUUUGUGGAGUGUACUUUCAGGUUUUUGCUUCUGCAUCAUUCACUUCAUGCUGACCAGGUUCGAGGUGACAUUCCUUGGGACCCUGGUGGACUCAGAGCAUGGGGAUGA